UGGGGAAUUUUGGACAAUGGGCGAAAGCCUGAUCCAGCAAUGCCGCGUGUGUGAAGAAGGCCUUCGGGUUGUAAAGCACUUUUGUCCGGAAAGAAAUCCUUGGCUCUAAUACAGUCGGGGGAUGACGGUACCGGAAGAAUAAGCACCGGCUAACUACGUGCCAGCAGCCGCGGUAAUACGUAGGGUGCAGCGUAAUCGGAAUUACUGGGCGUAAAGCGUGCGCAGGCGGUUUGCUAAGACCGAUGUGAAAUCCCCGGGCUUAACCUGGGAACUGCAUUGGUGACUGGCAGGCUAGAGUAUGGCAGAGGGGGGUAGAAUUCCACGUGUAGCAGUGAAAUGCGUAGAGAUGUGGAGGAAUACCGAUGGCGAAGGCAGCCCCCUGGGCCAAUACUGACGCUCAUGCACGAAAGCGUGGGGAGCAAAACAGGAUUAGAUACCCUGGUAGUCCACGCCCUAAACGAUGUCAACUAGUUGUUGGGGAUUCAUUUCCUUAGUAACGUAGCUAACGCGUGAAGUUGACCGCCUGGGGAGUACGGUCGCAAGAUUAAAACUUAAAUGAAUUGACGGGGUCAUA
rnacentral:rRNA from 1 species